GCUCCGGUCGCCUAGUAGUUAGAGCGUCCGCCUCGGAUGCGAAGGGCGCGGGUUUGAACACCGGCUGAAUCA